UACGUAGGGUGCGAGCGUUGCUCGGAAUUACUGGGCGUAAAGGGCGCGUAGGCGGCACUGUUAGUCAGGCGUGAAAUUCCUGGGCUCAACCUGGGGACUGCGCUUGAUACGGCAGAGCUAGAGGAUGGAAGAGGCUCGCGGAAUUCCCAGUGUAGAGGUGAAAUUCGUAGAUAUUGGGAAGAACACCGGUGGCGAAGGCGGCGAGCUGGUCCAUUACUGACGCUGAGGCGCGACAGCGUGGGGAGCAAACAGG
rnacentral:rRNA from 1 species